rnacentral:misc_RNA from 1 species
AAGUCGUAACAAGGUUUCCGUAGGUGAACCUGCGGAAGGAUCAUUACCCAGCCGUUCUUACGAGAGCGCGUCUUCAACUCGGCCGCAGGACCCCUUCACGCAAGAGUGCGUGUCUGGGAAUGCGGCCAGAGGCGAAGUAAACCCUUGCCUACGAGUACCCUUUGUUCCCUCGGCGGGCUCGCGCCCGUCGAUGGGCCCAACCAAAACCCCUUUGCAGUAGCAGUAUACCUCUGAUCGUGGGCAUUUGAAUCUUAACAACUUUCAACAACGGAUCUCUUGGUUCUG